AGCUCCAAUAGCGUAUAUUAAAGUUGUUGCAGUUAAAAAGCUCGUAGUCGGAUUUCGGGUCGGGCCGAGCGGUCUGCCGAUGGGUAUGCACUGUUUGGCGCGGCCUUCUUUCCGGAGACCGCGGCUACUCUUAACUGAGCGGGCGUGGGAGACGGAUCGUUUACUUUGAAAAAUCAGAGUGUUUCAAGCAGGCAGCUCGCUCUUGCAUGGAUUAGCAUGGGAUAAUGAAAUAGGACUCUGGUGCUAUUUUGUUGGUUUCGAACACCGGAGUAAUGAUUAACAGGGACAGUCAGGGGCACUCGUAUUCCGUCGAGAGAGGUGAAAUUCUUGGACCGUUUGAGGACUAACUACUGCGAAAGCAUUUGCCAAGAGUGUUUUCA
rnacentral:rRNA from 1 species